UGAGUACGAGAUGCUACGGCAUCGAAGCAGUCUAUGUCAUACUUCCAAGAAAAGCUUGCACUGUCAUAAACAAAGAAUGCCUGUACCAUAACCGACACAGGUGGGUAGGUAGAGUAUACUAAGGGGCGCGAGAUAACUCUCUCUAAGGAACUCGGCAAAAUGACUCCGUAACUUCGGGAGAAGGAGUGCCUUAUUUCUAAGGUUGCAAUAACAAGAUCCAAGCAACUGUUUACCAAAAACACAGGUCUCCGCUAGGUCGUAAGACGAUGUAUGGGGGCUGACGCCUGCCCAGUGCCAGAAGGUUAAAGAAGUUGGUUAGCAUUAGCGAAGCUGAUAACUGAAGCCCUGGUGAACGGCGGCCGUAACAAUAACGGUCCUAAGGUAGCGAAAUUCCUUGUCGGGUAAGUUCCGACCCGCACGAAAGGCGUAAUGAUUUGGAUACUGUCUCGGAGAGGGGCUCGGUGAAAUAGACUUGUCUGUGAAGAUGCGGACUACCUGCACCUGGACAGAAAGACCCUAUGAAGCUUUACUGUAACUUGAGAUUGAAAUUGGACUUUAUUUGCGCAGUAUAGGUGGGAGGCGUUGAGAAUAAUCUUGCGGGAUUGUUGGAGCCAUCAGUGAGAUACCACUCUUGUAAUGUUAGAUUUCUAACUUUGUAUCAUUAUCUGGUCAAAGAACAGUUUCAGGCGGGCAGUUUGACUGGGGCGGUCGCCUCCCAAAGGGUAACGGAGGCGCACAAAGGUUUCCUCUGAACGGGUAGAAAUCGUAUCUAGAGUGUAAAGGCAUAAGGAAGCUUGACUGUGAGACCUACAAGUCGAGCAGGGACGAAAGUCGGUCUUAGUGAUCUGACGGUGCUGAGUGGAAAGGCCGUCACUCAACGGAUAAAAGUUACUCUAGGAUAACAGGCUGAUCUCCCCCAAGAGUUCACAUCGACGGGGAGGUUUGGCACCUCGAUGUCGGCUCAUCGCAUCCUGGGGCGGUAGUCCGUCCCAGGGGUUGGGCUGUUCGCCCAUGAAAGCGGUACGCGAGCUGGGUUCAGAACGUCGUGAGACAGUUCGGUCCAUAUCCGGUGUAGGCGUUAGAAUAUUGAGAGGAGCCUUCUCUAGUACGAGAGGACCGAGAAGGACAUACCUCUGGUGUACCAGUUAUCGUGCCAACGGUAAACGCUGGGUAGCUAUGUAUGGAGUGGAUAACCGCUGAAAGCAUCUAAGUGGGAAGCCCACCUCAAGAUAAGUAUUCCCAUGGCAGAAGCCAGUAAGGUCACGGGAAGAACACCCGUUGAUAGGCUCUACGUGGAAGCGCGGCAACGCGUGAAGCGGAGGAGUACU
rnacentral:rRNA from 1 species